AGUGAACGCUGGCGGUAGGCCUAACACAUGCAAGUCGAACGGCAAGACAGUAAGCUCUCGCCCCUACGGGUGGCGAGUGGCGGACGGGUGACGAAUACAUCGCAAUCUUCUUUUUCUGGGGUGAUAACGUAGGGCAACAUACGCUAAUACCGCAUAUGUCCUACGGGUGAAAGCAGUGGAUCUUCGGACCUUGCGUGUCUGAAUGAGACGAUGCCGCAUUAGCUAGUUGGCAGGGUAAGGGCCCACCAAGGCGACGAUGCGUAGCGGAUCUGAGAGGAUGAUCGGCCACACUGGAACUGAGACACGGUCCAGACUCCUACGGGAGGCAGCAGUAGGGAAUAUUGGGCAAUGGGCGAAAGCCUGACGGAGCAACGCCGCGUGAGUGAUGAAGGUCUUCGGAUCGUAAAACUCUGUUAUUAGGGAAGAACAACUGCGGAAGUAAACAUGCAUGUUUUGACGGUACCUAAUCAGAAAGCCACGGCUAACUACGUG
rnacentral:rRNA from 1 species